rnacentral:rRNA from 1 species
AUGAGUCGAUCCAAUCUUGUCUUGUUUCUCUCAUCAUUCGUAUGCGACCUAGCAACUAGCUGCAUAACUGCACGUCUUCCAGAAAUGAAUGAUAGUCAAGCAGGUGAACUAGAAGCCUUGGAGGGAUUAUUGGUUGAUCCAAGUGCAAAGCCCAUCAAGCUAUCGUAUGGUCUUUUGAAAUUCGUCACAGGAAAUUUUUCUAACGAAAUAGGUCGUGGUGGGUUUGGAGUUGUUUACCAGGGAAGUUUGCAAAAUGGGGAGGUUGCUGUAAAGAAGAUCUCCAAUGUACAUGAGCUUUCUGAUAAGACAUUCAUGGAUGAGAUCACAUGUUUAAUAAAGGCAAAGCACAAGAAUAUAGUAAGAUUUCUAGGCUAUUGUUCAGAUACCCAGGGGGAAGUGAUGGAAUAUAAUGGGGCCUAUGUGAUGGCAGAGGUACAAAAAAGGCUGCUUUGUUUUGAGUAUGCUCCUAAUGGAAACAUUCGGGACUAUCUUGAAGAGAAACGGGGUGAAAAUGGGUGGCAUAUAAGGUACCGAAUAAUAAAGGGAAUAUGUGAGGGUCUGCACUACCUUCAUGCACAACGCAUCAGUCAUUUGGACCUCAAACCUGAGAAUGUUAUGCUGGAUGCUGGUAUGGAGGCAAAAAUCACGGACUUUGGUCUAGCAAGAUGUUUAGUUGAUGGCCACUCCAUAGUUUAUACUAAGAUUAUCCGGGGAACGCCGGGAUAUAUGGCACCAGAAAACAUAAACACGGGAGAAAUAUCAUUAAAGUCAGACAUAUAUGCAUUGGGCAUUAUUAUACUAAAGCUAGUAACCGGGUGUAACGUCAUCGAUUUUGAUAAUUGGCAUGAAUUGUCAGAUUUGGACAACCCGCAAGUGAAGACGGGAUGUAUCAAGAUCGCUCGAGCCUGUAUCGAAGUUGACCAAUAUAAAAGACCUACUGUAGUUGAAAUAAUCCGUGAGUUGGACGAGAUAGAGAACAUGUCUCAAUAUUUGAAAGAUGUCACGGGUUCUUCCACAGGCCAGGAAACUGAUCCAAGGAGUCGUCUUGGCCGACGGACAGACACUGAUCCUCCUAGAGCUCAGGCGAAAGAAGCACAAACUGCUCUCACCACAGGGCCUUCUUCGGUUAAACCCCCUCCCAAGGGGAUUGGACGGAAUUGGAGGAGAUUUCGUGGGAUUUUGACUCGUUGGGGAGUCAACCUCUCUCAAUCCCGGCCAAUCCCCCUCAAUUCCUUGUCCAAGAACAACGGCAGAGUGGAGAGGGACGAACAAUGGGCUGCCGCACAGAGGACGCUUCAUAGCAUUCAAGAACCUGAGCAGGCCUCCAACACACUGUUCAAUAAGAACAGCUACCAUGAGCUCACUGAGAUAGCUGAGCAAGCCAAGAGAAGAGCUGAGAUUGCAAGGCUGAGAGAGUUGAGCACACUAAAGGGCCACGUUGAGUCGGUCGUGAGGCUUAAGGGGCUCGACAUUGACACCAUCAACCAGAACUACACAGUGUGA